rnacentral:rRNA from 1 species
GAUGAACGCUGGCGGCGUGCCUAAUACAUACAAGUCGAGCGAACAGACGAGGAGCUUGCUCCUCUGACGUUAGCGGCGGACGGGUGAGUAACACGUGGAUAACCUACCUAUAAGACUGGGAUAACUUCGGGAAACCGGAGCUAAUACCGGAUAAUAUAUUGAACCGCAUGGUUCAAUAGUGAAAGACGGUUUUGCUGUCACUUAUAGAUGGAUCCGCGCCGCAUUAGCUAGUUGGUAAGGUAACGGCUUACCAAGGCAACGAUGCGUAGCCAACCUGAGAGGGUGAUCGGCCACACUGGAACUGAGACACGGUCCAGACUCCUACGGGAGGCAGCAGUAGGGAAUCUUCCGCAAUGGGCGAAAGCCUGACGGAGCAACGCCGCGUGAGUGAUGAAGGUCUUCGGAUCGUAAAACUCUGUUAUUAGGGAAGAACAAAUGUGUAAGUAACUAUGCACGUCUUGACGGUACCUAAUCAGAAAGCCACGGCUAACUACGUG